CAGAUGAAUGAUCAGUCCAUCAAAAAGCAGGACUAUAGAGCUUACCUAUUAGCUACUUUACAUGGAACCUUCAUGAGUUCUUCAAUAUAACCAUGUUGAGCAAGUACCACAUCAGCAUAGGAACUUCAUAUGGUGGAUCUAUGAAGAUACACUAUAAACCAACUAAAACACAACAUAGUUGCCUUGAAUCCAACUCAUGCAGUGGACACAAGACUAGUCAUAUAGGACACAUAAUGAUGUACCCCGAACUUGACGAUUUGAUAGCCUUCACACCCAG
rnacentral:misc_RNA from 1 species